UCCUGGUCCGGUAGUGCUACCAUACCCGGGGCGCUGUGGUGUUGGCGGGUGCGGACACCAAUCCACAAAUAUGAAUAAAAAUGAAGCCGCCGUUAACCCAGUCAUUUCGGUUGCUUAGAUCAAGAAGAUAUCGUCACUGCUGGACGGUCAGCGUAGUCAAAAAAAGCACAUUGUCAUUGCUGUAACACAGUGACUUUAUCGUUUUAAUAAAGAAUCAUCAAAGAA
rnacentral:lncRNA from 1 species